rnacentral:tRNA from 1 species
GCGGUGUUCGUAUAAUGGUUAUUAUUCCAGUCUUCCAAACUGGGGAUGGCAGUUCGAACCUGCUACACCGCU